rnacentral:rRNA from 1 species
GGCUUCUCCUUCGGGAGCAGAGUGACAGGUGGUGCAUGGUUGUCGUCAGCUCGUGUCGUGAGAUGUUGGGUUAAGUCCCGCAACGAGCGCAACCCUUGAUCUUAGUUGCCAUCAUUAAGUUGGGCACUCUAAGGUGACUGCCGGUGACAAACCGGAGGAAGGUGGGGAUGACGUCAAAUCAUCAUGCCCCUUAUGACCUGGGCUACACACGUGCUACAAUGGACGGUACAAAGAGCUGCAAGACCGCGAGGUGGAGCUAAUCUCAUAAAACCGUUCUCAGUUCGGAUUGUAGGCUGCAACUCGCCUACAUGAAGCUGGAAUCGCUAGUAAUCGCGGAUCAGCAUGCCGCGGUGAAUACGUUCCCGGGUCUGUUACACACCGA